rnacentral:rRNA from 1 species
UAAAUUGAGAGUUUGAUCCUGGCUCAGGAUGAACGCUGGCGGCGUGCCUAAUACAUGCAAGUCGAACGAAACUUCUUUAUCACCGAGUGCUUGCACUCACCGAUAAAGAGUUGAGUGGCGAACGGGUGAGUAACACGUGGGCAACCUGCCCAAAAGAGGGGGAUAACACUUGGAAACAGGUGCUAAUACCGCAUAAUCAUAGUUACCGCAUGGUAACUAUGUAAAAGGUGGCUAUGCUACCGCUUUUGGAUGGGCCCGCGGCGCAUUAGCUAGUUGGUGAGGUAAAGGCUUACCAAGGCAAUGAUGCGUAGCCGAACUGAGAGGUUGAUCGGCCACAUUGGGACUGAGACACGGCCCAAACUCCUACGGGAGGCAGCAGUAGGGAAUCUUCCACAAUGGGCGAAAGCCUGAUGGAGCAACGCCGCGUGGGUGAAGAAGGUCUUCGGAUCGUAAAACCCUGUUGUUAGAGAAGAAAGUGCGUGAGAGUAACUGUUCACGUUUCGACGGUAUCUAACCAGAAAGCCACGGCUAACUACGUGCCAGCAGCCGCGGUAAUACGUAGGUGGCAAGCGUUAUCCGGAUUUAUUGGGCGUAAAGGGAACGCAGGCGGUCUUUUAAGUCUGAUGUGAAAGCCUUCGGCUUAACCGGAGUAGUGCAUUGGAAACUGGGAGACUUGAGUGCAGAAGAGGAGAGUGGAACUCCAUGUGUAGCGGUGAAAUGCGUAGAUAUAUGGAAGAACACCAGUGGCGAAAGCGGCUCUCUGGUCUGUAACUGACGCUGAGGUUCGAAAGCGUGGGUAGCAAACAGGAUUAGAUACCCUGGUAGUCCACGCCGUAAACGAUGAAUGCUAAGUGUUGGAGGGUUUCCGCCCUUCAGUGCUGCAGCUAACGCAAUAAGCAUUCCGCCUGGGGAGUACGACCGCAAGGUUGAAACUCAAAGGAAUUGACGGGGGCCCGCACAAGCGGUGGAGCAUGUGGUUUAAUUCGAAGCAACGCGAAGAACCUUACCAGGUCUUGACAUCUUCUGAUAAUCCUAGAGAUAGGACUUUCCCUUCGGGGACAGAAUGACAGGUGGUGCAUGGUUGUCGUCAGCUCGUGUCGUGAGAUGUUGGGUUAAGUCCCGCAACGAGCGCAACCCUUAUUGUUAGUUGCCAGCAUUAAGUUGGGCACUCUAGCAAGACUGCCGGUGACAAACCGGAGGAAGGUGGGGAUGACGUCAAAUCAUCAUGCCCCUUAUGACCUGGGCUACACACGUGCUACAAUGGACGGUACAACGAGUCGCAAGACCGCGAGGUUUAGCAAAUCUCUUAAAGCCGUUCUCAGUUCGGAUUGUAGGCUGCAACUCGCCUACAUGAAGUCGGAAUCGCUAGUAAUCGCGGAUCAGCAUGCCGCGGUGAAUACGUUCCCGGGCCUUGUACACACCGCCCGUCACACCAUGAGAGUUUGUAACACCCAAAGCCGGUGGGGUAACCUUUUGGAGCCAGCCGUCUAAGGUGGGACAGAUGAUUGGGGUGAAGUCGUAACAAGGUAGCCGUAGGAGAACCUGCGGCUGGAUCACCUCCUUUCUAAGGA